GCAGAGUUGCAGGAUUCUAGAUAUUGACUUGGAGAUGUGGAGGAAGCACACAGGAGGGCGAGUUGGUUGUGGCUGAUUAAACUGUGGGCACAGUUUUUAUGGGGGUCGAUGGUAGGGAUUAGAAAUAGACCAGCAUUGACGAGCUCGACGAUGGCGAUGGGCUCGGGACCCACCGAGCUCGCAGGUGGAAGCAUCGGCGGAGACGCGGAGGGAGAAUGUCAGCUUGCGGAGCUGUGGUGGAGGUGGUGCGACACGGGAAAUCUCCGGGACGUCAUGGACGGUCGACUUGUAGUAGGCCUUAGCGGUUGCGACACUGGAGGCGUGAGUUCGUAGUUUCGAGGACGCUGGCGAUGAGGGGGAGCAGAACGAGGAGGAGGAGGAGUAGAAGCGCGAGAGGAAGGGCCAGAUUUGAUGACUCCAGGACCCUACUGGAUAAGUUUGCAACCGGGCGACGUCUCUAGAGAGCAGAAAAGUUUGUAAAGAGAUGCAUAUUUAGAUGACAUUCAGUAGGAUUGUGGAAUCUGUGGCCUUUCACUCGAAUCAAGGUUUUGCAGAGGAUUAGGUACCCAAGGAGAAGAGGAAAUGGCUUCGGGCCGAAAUUCCGUGAGGUUGAUUUACGUUUGCAGCUUGGUCGUGUUCUACUUGCUUCUGGCAGUUUGUUCCGCCGCGCAGGAGCAACCACAGCAAUGGGGCUCUGAAGUAGCCGGUCCACCACAAGAGUAUUAUCUCCGAGGCAGAUUACCAUCUUCAGCGCAAUUGGAAUCAGUCGAGCAAGAGUUCGAGGAGUUUGUGCGGCGAGAGCUGGCAGAUCAGUACAUAGACCCGAGCGCCAACUGCGAGAACGACCCCAGCUUGUGUCCGUGAUGCAUUUCACCAUGCACGACGACAUCGAUCAGGUGGAGUUGGUGAUCAUGGACACAGGAAAAGCAUUAGCUUUACCGUAACACACAGUGAGAUGAUAGACUGGGCUACUUAGGGGUUUAAGCUAGAAUUUUGUGAGUGAUCCUUGAAGAUUUUGCACUGGUGUGUGUUUUUUUCUUCUUCCUGAUGCAGUUGUGAUGACUCCGAAUCUCCACGUUUACACAAAAAUACCCUUUCUUUUCCUUUCCGUGUAAUUUAUCUCACCUUUUUUUUUAGGCCUUGGGAUUUGAUCCUGACUCAGCGUUUUCCUGAUGCUCUCGUGGACUUGGUCCACGUUGGUAGCGCAAUGAAAAGCUCGAGAAUGAGAACGAAGGCUCAAAGCAAAGAAUUCGUUUGUGGGUCUCACACUUUCA